UGAACGCUGGCGGCGUGCUUAACACAUGCAAGUCGAACGAAGCAUUUAGAACAGAUUACUUCGGUUUGAAGUUCUUUAUGACUGAGUGGCGGACGGGUGAGUAACGCGUGGGUAACCUGCCUUGUACUGGGGGAUAGCAGCUGGAAACGGCUGGUAAUACCGCAUAAGCGCACAAUGUUGCAUGACAUGGUGUGAAAAACUCCGGUGGUAUAAGAUGGACCCGCGUCUGAUUAGCUAGUUGGUGAGAUAACAGCCCACCAAGGCGACGAUCAGUAGCCGACCUGAGAGGGUGAUCGGCCACAUUGGGACUGAGACACGGCCCAGACUCCUACGGGAGGCAGCAGUGGGGAAUAUUGCACAAUGGGGGAAACCCUGAUGCAGCAACGCCGCGUGAGUGAUGACGGCCUUCGGGUUGUAAAGCUCUGUCUUCAGGGACGAUAAUGACGGUACCUGAGGAGGAAGCCACGGCUAACUACGUG
rnacentral:rRNA from 1 species